rnacentral:tRNA from 1 species
GGGAGAAUAGUUUAAUAAAGAAGAAUGGCACUUUUGUAAAGUGUUGGUGCGCGUUGCUUCUCCCU